GAUUUCAACUGAAAAGUCAUCAACAACAAAGUUGUAUAACUCAUCAAAAUAUAUAACUUUUAUUUUGGUCAUUUCUUCAUCCGAUAAAGUAAUAGUAACAUUGUUCACAAAAUUUACACAUCUCUCUUAUAAUUUAUGAAACCAUAUGGGAGAUAUGUAAAAUUUCUGAACAAUGUUACUAUUAAUUUAUCGAUGAGGAAAUGACCAAAAAUGAAAAUUGUAGAUCUAGAUGGAUUAUACAACUUUGUUAUUGACGACUUUUUCAGUUGAAGUC
rnacentral:pre_miRNA from 1 species